rnacentral:rRNA from 1 species
AGAAUGAACGCUGGCGGCGCGCUAAUACAUGCAAGUCGAGCGAGAAGACGUAGCAAUACGUUUGUAAAGCGGCGAACGGGUGAGGAAUACAUGGGUAACCUACCCUAGAGUGGGGAAUAACUAGCCGAAAGGUUAGCUAAUACCGCGUACGCUCCUUGGACUUCGGUUCAGGGGGGAAAGCGCUACCGAGGGUAGCGCGCUCUUGGAUGGGCUCAUGUCCUAUCAGCUUGUUGGUGAGGUAACGGCUCACCAAGGCUUCGACGGGUAGCUGGUCUGAGAGGACGAUCAGCCACACUGGCACUGCGACACGGGCCAGACUCCUACGGGAGGCAGCAGUAAGGAAUAUUGCGCAAUGGGCGAAAGCCUGACGCAGCGACGCCGCGUGGGGGAUGAAGGUCUUCGGAUUGUAAACCCCUUUCGGGAGGGAAGAUGGAAUGGGGUAACCCAUUCGGACGGUACCUCCAGAAGCAGCCACGGCUAACUUCGUGCCAGCAGCCGCGGUAAUACGAAGGUGGCAAGCGUUAUUCGGAUUUACUGGGCGUACAGGGAGCGUAGGCGGUUCGGUAAGCCCUUUGCGAAAUCUCCAGGCUUAACCUGGAACAGUCGGAGGGGACUGCCGGGCUAGAGGACGGGAGAGGAGCGCGGAAUUCCCGGUGUAGCGGUGAAAUGCGUAGAGAUCGGGAGGAAGGCCGGUGGCGAAGGCGGCGCUCUGGAACGUUUCUGACGCUGAGGCUCGAAAGCGUGGGGAGCAAACAGGAUUAGAUACCCUGGUAGUCCACGCCCUAAACGAUGUCGACUGGUUGUUGGGAGAGGCAACUUUCUUAGUAACGAAGCUAACGCGUGAAGUCGACCGC